GCAGGGCUGGCUGGGGAAACUUGUCUAGGAGUACAUCCCCGAGGCUGCACACCGAAAAGUCCUUGGGCAAUGGCUGUAGAAAGGGGACCUGCUGCUGUUAGUGCAGGAAUCACACCUUCAGCAUCAAAGCGUCAAACCAAGCAGUGAAGCGGAGCAGAGGUGAAGCUCAGGCCGGACACCCUGGGUCUGCAUUUCCUCACAGCAGCCGUGGAACCCAAGUGUGGACGGCCGAUUCUCCACCUGUGAACUCUGAACACGAAGCUUGAGAUGUGAGCACAGUGUGAGGCAUACAGUCCUCAAAGACUCUGGAGCUGGAGCUACAGAUGGUUGUGAGCCACCCAACAUGGUGAGUACUUACUAGGAAGUGAACAUGGACCCCCUGUAAGAGCAAUAAGCACUCUAAACCGCUGGGCCAUCUCUCCAGCCCUGGGUGCUGAGGUCUAACUGUACCGUUUCCCUGCACCUGCACCUUGCUGUUUUCAUCAGCACAUGUCCACAGCUGUCCAUAAUCUGGCUAAGUGACAGUUUACACCGAGGGUUGCUCUGUAUUAUGAGAGUGCUGCUCUUCAACUGCAUCUCAGAGUCCCGAGGAGGUGAGUUAUCCCUGGAGGUGACAUUCUUAGAUGGAGGACUGUCAGUCAAAGCAUUUGUUCACGUAACUGGUGUUUGGUGAGCAAGUUACUGUCCAGAAAGGAUAUCUGUGUGACAGUCACUGCAUCACUGGGCCAGGAAGUAGGUGACCUACGGUUGGACUGACCACAAUUACUUUGACCUCGAUCAAGGCACUUCCCUCUGCCCUUCUUUUUCCAGCACAGAAACUUCUGAACUAGGUGGGUCUGUUAUAGAAAGGUAGUAGGGACCUGAUGACAACCUAAGAUGUGAACAGGGGGACUUGGUCAUUGUAAAGUGGGAGAGAAGUGGCUAAGCCAGCGGG